rnacentral:rRNA from 1 species
UGUCCUACGGGACGCAGCAGUGGGGGAUAUUGCACAAUGGGGGGAACCCUGAUGCAGCGACGCCGCGUGGGUGAAGGAGCGUUUCGGCGCGUAAAGCCCUAUCGGCAGGGAAGAAGGAGGACGGUACCUGACUAAGAAGCCCCGGCUAACUACGUGCCAGCAGCCGCGGUAAUACGUAGGGAGCGAGCGUUGUCCGGAAUUACUGGGUGUAAAGGGAGCGUAGGCGGGGAUGCAAGUUUGGUGUCCAAACUACCGGCUCAACUGGGAG